UACGUAGGGUGCAAGCGUUGUCCGGAAUUAUUGGGCGUAAAGGGCUCGUAGGCGGUGUGUCACGUCGGCCGUGAAAACCUGGGGCUUAACUCUGGGCGUGCGGUCGAUACGGGCAUCACUAGAGUUCGGCAGGGGAGACUGGAAUUCCUGGUGUAGCGGUGAAAUGCGCAGAUAUCAGGAGGAACACCGGUGGCGAAGGCGGUGAUCUGGGCCAGUACUGACGCUGAGGAGCGAAAGCGUGGGGAGCAAACAGG
rnacentral:rRNA from 1 species